CCUACGGGGGGCAGCAGUGGGGGAUAUUGCACAAUGGGGGAAACCCUGAUGCAGCGACGCCGCGUGUGGGAAGACGGUCCUCUGGAUUGUAAACCACUGUCCCCAGGGACGAAGAUGACGGUACCUGGGGAGGAAGCUCCGGCUAACAACGUGCCAGCAGCCGCGGUAAUACGUAGGGCGCGAGCGUUGUCCGGAAUUACUGGGUGUAAAGGGAGCGUAGGCGGGGAUGCAAGUUGGGUGUCAAAACUACCGGCUCAACUGGUAGUCGCACUCAAAACUGCAGCUCUUGAGUGAAGUAGAGGCAGGCGGAAGUCCUAGUGUAGCGGGGAAAUGCGUAGAUAUUAGGAGGAACACCAGUGGCGAAGGCGGCUCACUGGACUGCAACUGACACUGAGGCUCGAAAGUGUGGGUAUCAAACAGGAUUAGAUACCCUAGUAGUC
rnacentral:rRNA from 1 species